rnacentral:tRNA from 1 species
GCCUGGGUGGCUCAGUCGGUUGAGCGUCCGACUUCGGCUCAGGUCGUGAUCUCACGGUUUGUGGGUUCGAGCCCCACGUCGGGCU